CACGUAGGGUGCAAGCGUUGUCCGGAAUUAUUGGGCGUAAAGGGCUCGUAGGCGGUCCGUCACGUCGGGAGUGAAAACUCGGGGCUCAACCCCGAGCCUGCUUUCGAUACGGGCGGACUAGAGGUAGGUAGGGGAGAACGGAAUUCCUGGUGUAGCGGUGGAAUGCGCAGAUAUCAGGAGGAACACCGGUGGCGAAGGCGGUUCUCUGGGCCGCAACUGACGCUGGAGGAGCGAAAGCAUGGGGAGCGAACAGG
rnacentral:rRNA from 1 species